UACGAAGGGUGCAAGCGUUACUCGGAAUUACUGGGCGUAAAGCGUGCGUAGGUGGUUCGUUAAGUCUGAUGUGAAAGCCCUGGGCUCAACCUGGGAAUGGCAUUGGAAACUGGCGACCUAGAGUGCGGGUAGAGGGCAGUGGAAUUCCCGGUGUAGCAGUGAAAUGCGUAGAGAUCGGGAGGAACAUCUGUGGCGGAAGGCGACUGCCUGGACCAGCACUGACACUGAGGCACGAAAGCGUGGGGAGCAAACAGG
rnacentral:rRNA from 1 species